rnacentral:rRNA from 1 species
GGAAGUAAAAGUCGUAACAAGGUUUCCGUAGGUGAACCUGCGGAAGGAUCAUUAGCGAAGUCCGGAAUGCGCGCGAGGCGCUGAGCUGCCCAGCAAUGGGAUGUGCUCGCCCUUGUGCGUGUCCCUUCACUAUCCACCCCACUGUGAACCAAGUGUGCGAGCCGAAGAGAGAUCGGAAGCUCGCAUGCAACCCUUAACAUACCCCAAUGAAGUAUCAGAAUGUACCUUGCGUUAACUCGCACAAAUACAACUUUCAACAACGGAUCUCUUGGCUCUCGCAUCGAUGAAGAACGCAGCGAAAUGCGAUAAGUAAUGUGAAUUGCAGAAUUCAGUGAAUCAUCGAAUCUUUGAACGCACCUUGCGCCCUUUGGCAUUCCGAAGGGCACGCCUGUUUGAGUGUCGUGAACUCCUCCACCCUCUCCUUUUUCGAAAGGUGUUGGGCUGGGAUUUGGGAGCUUGCAGGUCCCUGGCCGAUCUGCUCUCCUUGAAUACAUUAGCGAAGCCCUUGCGGCCUUGGUGUGAUAGUCAUCUACGCCUCGGCUUAGCGAACUUAUGGGAGUCGCUUCCAAUCGUCUUGCAAGAGACAACUUUUACCAACUUGACCUCAAAUCAGGCGGGACUACCCGCUGAACUUAAGCAUAUCAAUAAGCGGAGGA